AAUGAACGCUGGCGGCGCGCCUAAUACAUGCAAGUCGAGCGAGAAGACGUAGCAAUACGUUUGUAAAGCGGCGAACGGGUGAGGAAUACAUGGGUAACCUACCCUUGAGUGGGGAAUAACUAGCCGAAAGGUUAGCUAAUACCGCGUACGCUUCUUGGACUUCGGUUCAGGGAGGAAAGCGCUACCGUGGGUAGCGCGCUCUUGGAUGGGCUCAUGUCCUAUCAGCUUGUUGGUGAGGUAACGGCUCACCAAGGCUUCGACGGGUAGCUGGUCUGAGAGGACGAUCAGCCACACUGGCACUGCGACACGGGCCAGACUCCUACGGGAGGCAGCAGUAAGGAAUAUUGCGCAAUGGGCGAAAGCCUGACGCAGCGACGCCGCGUGGGGGAUGAAGGUCUUCGGAUUGUAAACCCCUUUCGGGAGGGAAGAUGGAAUGGGGUAACCCAUUCGGACGGUACCUCCAGAAGCAGCCACGGCUAACUUCGUGCCAGCAGCCGCGGUAAUACGAAGGUGGCAAGCGUUAUUCGGAUUUACUGGGCGUACAGGGAGCGUAGGCGGUUCGGUAAGCCCUUUGUGAAAUCUCCAGGCUUAACCUGGAAAAGUCGGAGGGGACUGCCGGGCUAGAGGACGGGAGAGGAGCGCGGAANNNCNGGUGUAGCGGUGAAAUGCG
rnacentral:rRNA from 1 species